CCGGCGCGGGGGCGGGAGGCUCUCUCGGGCGCGCAUGGUCGCGCGUGGCGGCGCCCGGCCCGGCGGAGGGGCGCGGGGCGCGGGAAGAGGCGCCGCCCGAGCCGGGCGGGACGAACGGCCCCGGAGAGUCCGCUGCCGGCCUGGCGAGGGUGGCCCCCUUCCCGGGAAAAUUAGGGCUCGGCCCCGGGAGCUCCGCGGAUGGGGAGAGGCCGAAGGAGGGUGCAGAGGUAGCCUCUCUGCCUGAAUAGGCCACGCUCCUGGGACCAAAGCUGCACCAUGGGGUGCCCUGAAAUGGACACGGUCCUGCCGCAGAACCUCCAUCACGGAUCUGGAUCCUGGGGAACCCUGGCCAGGUCUACGGUAUAGCGGUAUCGAAGGGAGAUGGCCGGUCCAGUACGUUCCUCGUGAGCAACGUCAGGAGCCUGACGGCUGCCGUCCCCAGUUGAAGAGGACCUCAGAUGUGGCCCCUGAAGCCAGAGCCCUCAGUCCAGAGCUCAGUCCCCACCUCCUGGCUUUCUGGCUGUGACACUGAGUCACCUUCCUGAGCUUCCUCAUUCAUAAUAUGGAGAUACUAAUAUCUCCCGCCCACCCACCGUCCCUUCCUUGUUGGGGAAUACCUGCUUAUCACACACACUUAAUAAGUGGUGGGUCUUAUUACACGAUUGGGAAGCUUGAUGAGGGCUUCGCACUUGCAUUCGAAUCCCCAGGAAGGCCCUGAGAGGGCCUAGCAACUUUAUAUUUGUAAUUUCGAAUCAUUUUGCAAAGAGGUUCCCCAAAAUCAUUUCAUCUUCAAUCCCCACAAAACCUGGAUCCGCCCUCAGGGCAGUAGCGUUAUAAACUAGGAACAGAGAUUUUCUGGCAUUCAUCAAAUACCUACACUGCCCACACAGCCAUAAAGUAAAAUCGGGGGAACGAGAAUGAUUUGGUUGUUCUCAGCUGCCGUUUGAGUCCUGCCAAUAUGACGCUGACAGACUCACAGGCUGGAAGCUCCUUGAGGAUCAAGAACUGUGCUUUGGUAAUUGCUCUGUCUCCCACACCUAGCACUCGAAGGUGGAAUGAGCCCAGUGCAGUGAUCAGGAGGGUUAAGACCCUCAACCUAGGCCCCAGCCAUCACUAUGGCCCCGUUACAUCCACGAUCUCUUGUCUGAGCUGGAGCCAGGGAGAAGCGGAGCCUCCCAAUUUUCCAGGCUACCCUGAGAUGUUCUGUUUGCAGGCAGGGAGGCUGCCAAUGCGUUCUCUUCCCUGGCCUUUGAGAAACUGCUUCUCAAGGUGACUCCUGCGUUCCCCACCCCUUGAAUGCACUCAGGCCCCAAAGGCUAUCAGUAUAUGCUGAGAAAUAUUUCUAGGCCUGCCCCACUGCUUCCUUCAACCCCUAGCCCUCAUUGUCCCAUGCCAGAAAUAUUACAAGAGUCUUCUAGCUGCCCUCCCUGGUUCCUGGCUUCCUACCAUCCAAGUCCUUCUGAAGUCCAGGCCACAUUAUUCCUGCUAAGAAGCACCCUAAUCACAUCAUAGCCCUGCCCCAAAUCCCUUGAUGACCUCCUCCUUCCUGACCCAGCCAAUUGAAAUAUCUCUGCCUGGUGUCUGAGGCCUUCCGUGAUCUGACUCUGCAUCCUGGGCUGCAGCAAGGCCACCUCCCACUGUCCUCGGCCCACCUGAGUCCCCUCCGUUUAAGCCCCUGCGCAUAUUUCCUUGCUUGCCCUGCCUUCUCUGCUCACCUCCCGCUGACCUGACCAAGUGUCAGUCUCACCGAAGGCCCAGCUCUCCCACCCUCCCCAUAAAAGCCUCUCCUGAGCACGGCUACUCACCCCAAUCUCCCAGGCCUCAGCACUUCCACAGGAGAAACUCGGACUAUGCUCAGAAUCCAUCUAGAUCGAGACCGAGACUCUUCUUUACAGACUAGGAACCUGCAACGCAACGAGCAAGCCAUCUUGUCCAGUGUCAGGCUGUGCUAGAGGUCGGAGCUGGGACUUAAACCCAGUUCUGAUGCCCAGGCGGUGCUCCGUCCAUCCUUCCCCCCGCCCCCCUCCCAACCUCACUGCCAGGGCUUCGGAUAAGUGACACUGACUCAUAACAGUCUGCCUGAUACUUUUGACUGCCUUCUGGGGGGCCGGUCUCAUCUGCCCCAAUCAGACGGCUUUCUGAGACCAGAGCCCAUGUUACGCUGCUAUGACUGCUCCUGGGCUCAGAGCUGGGCCUGUGUCCUCUCUUUAUCAUGCCAGUUGUCACCUCAUGUGCUUCUUUAUUAUCCCACUUCUUUUUGCUGUCCUGUAGCUGUUGGAACCCAGCGAAGCCCCUUGCUGAUUACUCUCCGGACUCCAAGGAAGAGCAGACAGGACGCUGAGCAUUGGAAACCUAGUUCCACACAUCUCCCCUCACCCUCCAGAUGGCCUUACCCUCUGGCCGAAGUCCCCUGGGUGUCUCUAUUCAUUUAGUAUGCUCCCUCCUGUAGGAGUUGGGGUGGGGGGGAGUGGUCAGGCCACGCCAGGCUGCCGCCCACAAAAUGCACCUGCCGGUAAGAGAAGGCAGGCCACAGCUAAGUCAGGAUGUCACAAUUCACAUCUGACCCAGGGCCCUAGGAACGUUGCUCCAGAAAUUCUCUCCAGUGGACCAAAGCCAUACCCCAGCACCUGGAAGUACACUUCUAACAGCAGUGUUUGCAUAAUACUGAUGGUUUACAGAGCA